GUUUUCGUAGUGUAGUCGGUUAUCACAUACGCUUUACACGCGGAAGGUCCCCGGUUCAAACCCGGGUGAAAACA
rnacentral:tRNA from 1 species